rnacentral:rRNA from 1 species
GCGAACGCUGGCGGCAGGCUUCACACAUGCAAGUCGAGCGGGCACUUUCGGGUGUCAGCGGCGGACGGGUGAGUAACGCGUGGGAACGUGCCCUCUGGUUCGGAAUAACUCAGGGAAACUUGAGCUAAUACCGGAUACGCCCUUUUGGGGAAAGGCUUGCUGCCGGGGGAUCGGCCCGCGUCUGAUUAGCUAGUUGGUGAGGUAACGGCUCACCAAGGCGACGAUCAGUAGCUGGUCUGAGAGGAUGAUCAGCCACACUGGGACUGAGACACGGCCCAGACUCCUACGGGAGGCAGCAGUGGGGAAUAUUGGACAAUGGGCGCAAGCCUGAUCCAGCCAUGCCGCGUGAGUGAUGAAGGCCUUAGGGUUGUAAAGCUCUUUUAUCCGGGACGAUAAUGACGGUACCGGAGGAAUAAGCCCCGGCUAACUCCGUG